GGAAUAUUGCGCAAUGGACGAAAGUCUGACGCAGCCAUGCCGCGUGGGUGAAGAAGGCCUUCGGGUUGUAAAGCUCUUUCGCUGGGGAAGAUAAUGACGGUACCCAGUAAAGAAGCCCCGGCUAACUCCGUGCCAGCAGCCGCGGUAAUACGGAGGGGGCUAGCGUUGUUCGGAAUUACUGGGCGUAAAGCGCGCGUAGGCGGACUGGAAAGUUGGGGGUGAAAUCCCGGGGCUCAACCCCGGAACUGCCUCCAAAACUAUCAGUCUGGAGUUCGAGAGAGGUGAGUGGAAUUCCGAGUGUAGAGGUGAAAUUCGUAGAUAUUCGGAGGAACACCAGUGGCGAAGGCGGCUCACUGGCUCGAUACUGACGCUGAGGUGCGAAAGUGUGGGGAGCA
rnacentral:rRNA from 1 species